rnacentral:rRNA from 1 species
AGAAAUCGUUAAGGGCGUAUGGCGGAUGCCUAGGCUUUCAGAGGCGACGAAGGACGUGGUAAGCUGCGAAAAGCUACGGGGAUUGGCACACACGAAUUGAUCCGUAGAUAUCCGAAUGGGGCAACCCAAUACAUUGAAG